AGGAAGGCUCUUGGGUUGUAAACUCCUUUUCUCAGGGAAGAACAAAAUGACGGUACCUGAGGAAUCAGCAUCGGCUAACUCCGUGCCAGCAGCCGCGGUAAUACGGAGGAUGCAAGCGUUAUCCGGAAUCAUUGGGCGUAAAGCGUUCGUAGGUGGCUGGUCAAGUCUGUCGUCAAAGACCGGGGCUCAACCCCAGAAAGGCGGUGGAAACUGACAAGCUAGAGUGCGGUAGGGGUAGAGGGAAUUCCCGGUGUAGCGGUGAAAUGCGUAGAGAUCGGGAAGAACACCGGUGGCGAAAGCGCUCUGCUGGGCCUGCACUGACACUGAGGGACGAAAGCUAGGGGAGCGAAUGGGAUUAGAUA
rnacentral:rRNA from 1 species